rnacentral:rRNA from 1 species
UACGGAGGGUGCAAGCGUUGUCCGGAAUCACUGGGCGUAAAGGGUGCGUAGGCGGGUUUUUAAGUCAGGGGUGAAAUCCUGGAGCUCAACUCCAGAACUGCCUUUGAUACUGAAGAUCUUGAGUCCGGGAGAGGUGAGUGGAACUGCGAGUGUAGAGGUGAAAUUCGUAGAUAUUCGCAAGAACACCAGUGGCGAAGGCGGCUCACUGGCCCGAUACUGACGCUGAGGUGCGAAAGCGUGGGGAGCAAACAGG